GGCCAUAGCUCAGUGGCAGAGCAUCUGCUUUGCAUGUAGAAGAUUCCGGGUUCAGUCCCCAGCAUCUCCA
rnacentral:tRNA from 1 species